GAGUUUGAUCAUGGCUCAGAACGAACGCUGGCGGCGUGCCUAACACAUGCAAGUCGAACGUGAAAGUCCUUCGGGAUGAGUAAAGUAGGCGCACGGGUGAGUAACACGUAGGUAACCUGCCUCAAAGACUGGGAUAACUUUCCGUAAAGGAAGUAGCUAAUACCAGAUAAGACCACGAUUUUAAUUUAUUGGGUCAAAGGCGCUUUCGGUGUCGCUUUGAGAUGGGCCUGCGGUACAUUAGCUAGAUGGUGGGGUAACGGCCUACCAUGGCAACGAUGUAUAGCUGGUCUGAGAGGACGAUCAGCCACACUGGAACUGAGACACGGUCCAGACUCCUACGGGAGGCAGCAGUGGGG
rnacentral:rRNA from 1 species